rnacentral:rRNA from 1 species
AUUGAACGCUGGCGGCAUGCUUUACACAUGCAAGUCGAACGGCAGCACGAAAGAGCUUGCUCUUUUGGUGGCGAGUGGCGAACGGGUGAGUAAUGCAUCGGAACGUACCGAGUAAUGGGGGAUAACUAUCCGAAAGGAUAGCUAAUACCGCAUACGCUUUGAGAAGGAAAGUGGGGGCUCUUCGGACCUCACGUUAUUCGAGCGGCCGAUGUCUGAUUAGCUAGUUGGUGGGGUAAAGGCCUACCAAGGCGACGAUCAGUAGCGGGUCUGAGAGGAUGAUCCGCCACACUGGGACUGAGACACGGCCCAGACUCCUACGGGAGGCAGCAGUGGGGAAUUUUGGACAAUGGGCGCAAGCCUGAUCCAGCCAUGCCGCGUGUCUGAAGAAGGCCUUCGGGUUGUAAAGGACUUUUGUUAGGGAAGAAAAGGAUAGUGUUAAUACCAUUAU